rnacentral:rRNA from 1 species
GAUGAACGCUGGCGGCGUGCCUAAUACAUGCAAGUCGAGCGAACAGACGAGGAGCUUGCUCCUCUGACGUUAGCGGCGGACGGGUGAGUAACACGUGGAUAACCUACCUAUAAGACUGGGAUAACUUCGGGAAACCGGAGCUAAUACCGGAUAAUAUAUUGAACCGCAUGGUUCAAUAGUGAAAGACGGUUUUGCUGUCACUUAUAGAUGGACCCGCGCCGCAUUAGCUAGUUGGUAAGGUAACGGCUUACCAAGGCGACGAUGCGUAGCCGACCUGAGAGGGUGAUCGGCCCACCUGAAACUGGGACACGGUCCAGACUCCUCGGGGAGACAGCAGUAGGGAAUCUUCCGCAAUGGGCGAAAGCCUGACGGAGCAACGCCGCGGGAGUGAUGAAGGCCUUCGGUUCGUAAAACUCUGUUAUUAGGGAAGAACAAAUGUGUAAGUAACGAUGCACGUCUUGACGGUACCAAUCAGAAAGCCACGGCUAACUACGUG